ensembl:lncRNA novel transcript
AAAGUCCGGACUGUCCGGCUGGAGUCUGGAGUCGGGACAUGCCUCAGCCAGCACGUCCUCGGCCUCGUCUGGGGCCUGAAUCCUAGGGAAGCCAUAGCAGCUCCUCCACCCUUCCUCUCACUCCUCCUCUAGCCUCUUGCUACUCCCCGCACCACUGUUUUAGGGAACCUCUAUCUCCCGACGGCCUGCCACGGGCCAGGCGCUGUGCUGGGGGCUUCACACUUUAAAUCGCUGUUGAGCGGGGCGCGGGGGCGCUGCAACCUAAAGGUGGGAGCUACUCAAAUGGAGGGGCAUCUGUUAAAAUGGCCGGCCUGUCAUUUUCAAAAACUUCAAGGCCGGGCGCGGUGGCUCACGCCUGUAAUCCCAGCACUUUGGGAGGCCGAGGCGGGCGGAUCACGAGGUCAGGAGAUCGAGAUCAUCUUGUCUAACACGGUGAAACUUCAUCUCU